AGAACAAAUUGGAACGGAACAGUUUCCAAACAGUGAAGGAGGUUUUUCCAAACUCAUCCCUAACUGAACAUGAGGAUGAAUUGGCAUUAGGCGAACACAGUCAGUUAUUCAGUCUACCACCUGACAGUGUGUUAAAGUUAAAUUCUGUUAGUGCUGCACUAAAAGAAUUGUUAGUAAUAAGUCCAUGCAGCGAAGGAAGUAAACAAUUGUGGGACCGUAUUUGGGCUGAAAAUGGGUGUGGUACGGAAACCCAGAAAUAGCACGAGUUCAACAUAAAACAUGAAUUAGAAUUUUAGUGGGGGAUCAAGUCAAGUCUGGAAGUGUUACAGGAUGGGAGAGUGAGCCUACAGUUGAAAAACACUGAAAGUGCAUUACCAUUAAGGUAUGAGGUAAAGUAAUAG